GAAUGGAUUAAGAGCUUGCUCUUAUGAAGUUAGCGGCGGACGGGUGAGUAACACGUGGGUAACCUGCCCAUAAGACUGGGAUAACUCCGGGAAACCGGGGCUAAUACCGGAUAACAUUUUGAACCGCAUGGUUCGAAAUUGAAAGGCGGCUUCGGCUGUCACUUAUGGAUGGACCCGCGUCGCAUUAGCUAGUUGGUGAGGUAACGGCUCACCAAGGCAACGAUGCGUAGCCGACCUGAGAGGGUGAUCGGCCACACUGGGACUGAGACACGGCCCAGACUCCUACGGGAGGCAGCAGUAGGGAAUCUUCCGCAAUGGACGAAAGUCUGACGGAGCAACGCCGCGUGAGUGAUGAAGGCUUUCGGGUCGUAAAACUCUGUUGUUAGGGAAGAACAAGUGCUAGUUGAAUAAGCUGGCACCUUGACGGUACCUAACCAGAAAGCCACGGCUAACUACGUGCCAGCAGCCGCGGUAAUACGUAGGUGGCAAGCGUUAUCCGGAAUUAUUGGGCGUAAAGCGCGCGCAGGUGGUUUCUUAAGUCUGAUGUGAAAGCCCACGGCUCAACCGUGGAGGGUCAUUGGAAACUGGGAGACUUGAGUGCAGAAGAGGAAAGUGGAAUUCCAUGUGUAGCGGUGAAAUGCGUAGAGAUAUGGAGGAACACCAGUGGCGAAGGCGACUUUCUGGUCUGUAACUGACACUGAGGCGCGAAAGCGUGGGGAG
rnacentral:rRNA from 1 species